rnacentral:rRNA from 1 species
CCCGCACGAAAGGCGUAACGAUUUGGGCACUGUCUCAACAACAGACUCGGUGAAAUUGUAAUUCCGGUGAAGAUGCCGGAUACCUGCGACAGGACGGAAAGGCCCCAUGGAGCUUUACUGUAGCUUGACAUUGGGUCUUGGUACUACAUGUACAGGAUAGGUGGGAGGCUUUGAAACCAGGACGCCAGUUUUGGCGGAGCCAUCC